CGGCUUAAUAAAUAGAGAGGAGAGGCAGAGAGAGAGGAGGGGGAGAGGGUGGAUGGUUUGCAUAGCGGAGCAAUCCCAAAGAGGGUCCCAAAAAGGGGGCGCGGCGGCGGCGGCGGUGGGGCGAGGAGGCCUAGCGGCGGUACCGUCGGCGUCGGCGUCGGCGGCGGCUGGUCCGAUGCUUAAACGACGUCUUCGAUAGGGAACUACGGUUCUGACUUCGGUAGCUGCGGGGCCGCCGCUUCCUCUUCCGCAGGCCUCCCGACCCGCCGUUCGACUUACCACACCGCCGGUGUGCCUUGGGUGCCCGCAGGCUCGUCACCCGUUUAGGUGUCCUAAUGUCGCUACGUUCGUACAUAAUACCGCGGAUGGGACGACGAAUGAUAACGCGUCCAACCCCACUAAUAAGGUACAUGAACUUAGUCCUACCUCACCUUUGUGGAUGGCGACCACGGAUACCACUGUACAUGACGAUAGGAGUUAUACCCGUACUACCAGUCUACAUACCCAGUGUCGUUAUAGUCAUGGGUAGUAGUAUGGUGGUCGGGGUCUUAUGACGGUCAUUCGGUGUUAUGUUCAGAUUUUGACUGUUCGAUCGGGGUAGUUUCCUAUAAAGGAGAUGACAACGACUAGGCGACGUACGGCAUCGGUCACGAGGGUUUCGGUGACGUUUGUCACAACUACUCCCUUUUGUCGUCUUCGGAAGAUCACCGUUAGGAUGAAGUUGACUAAGUUUAGGAUUUUCGUUCCAAGUCAGCUUCUUAGUCUUAUGAGUUGGAGAAGGAGGAGACUACUCAAAUGGAUUGAGUGGCCACCGAAGUUACAUACGAUGAUUACCUUACAUGUUGUCGUUACGGAUACCACCGAAAACCAUACCUAGGGUCAAAAUACCCGGUCCUUACAUACCACCCACCUUAUUAGACAGCCUACCUUUUAUGUUCGGGGCUCCCUCCUGUCGCAUACCUAGCAUACCUAAAGGGUUACUUUUGAACCUACCAAACUUACUCAACUUCUCUCCUGGUGCCUCACCUGAGAUAUUAUUGGUUGUCCCGAAACCUGGACGACGACACUGUCGACAGUUUCGUGUCCUACAAAGACGAUGACUACCGAGAUUACGUCAACACGUCCUAGUCAUGUUGCCCAGACUGAAUCGACUGUGAAUACUUUUACGGUUUACGAAAUAAUAAUUCAGCAUGUCGCUCCUACUACAAGUGUUCUCGUAGUUCAUGUUACAAACCCGAUCGUGUGGAUUACCUUUAUUUUUCGAACUGUCACGAAUAGACCUUCGAUUUAGACAGUUAAGAGGACAUAAGGAAGAGAAGAGACAAUUGUGGUCACCCGUCAAACAACCAGAGCGGCUCUACCAACCGGUCCAACUAAAACUGUUCUGCCACCUUGUGACCGUCGUUCUGUUCACCUGACCAACGAAGGGACAGUUCACCGUGUAACAGUUCCUAUAAGGGUUGUUGAACAAUUUCGUAUAGUAAGAGCUCAUAUUACUUUUGUUUGGUCACUGUUUGUCGUCUCUAUGUGUCCUCCAGUUCGAGCUCGUUCCGGAAGUCCACAACUUCUAAAAGUUCCUAGUACAGAGGUUUUGUAGGUAGGACCUACUGAAGUCGAAAAUACUAUUGGCACUCUUCUAUUACGUUCUCUCCUUUAGUGUCGCCGUCGUUGUUGACUUCUUCUAGUGCUCAGGCUUCGACGACGGAUGACAACUGUUGUGACUUUUACUAAGGCCGUUACGCGUCCUUAGCGUCUUCGGACUUCAAUGGCCUCUCUUGUUUAGACACCACCUUCUGUUACACCUCCGCCGACGGCACUCACCGCAACGGGGCUUUCUACGAUUGGGGUGUCGGCGUUCGAACCGACAGCGCUUACCGACGACUAAAAAAACAGACAACUCAACACUCAUUCCACUGUACUGUCGAACCCUCAAAACCUCCUCCGACCGCGUCAAGUUGACAACCUCCGUUAGUCCCAAGACAACCCCAAGACAUCCACAAAAACGUCUUUCAAACUCCCUAUACCAAUCCAAAGAGAACUCUAAAGGGGGGACAUAAUAAUAAAGAGAUAGAACCUCAACUCAAGCCGACCAUCCUCUAUCUCUAGUAGUAAACAACUAGACCCCACCACCACACAACAGAAAAAAUAGAACAGCAGCCAUCUUUUACAUGGAUCCACACCACUAAACAUGACCAAAACGUUCUUCAUUGAACAGACAAAGUCUCAACAAAUAAAUAGAAUACAAAACGUAG
rnacentral:rRNA from 1 species